rnacentral:snoRNA from 1 species
GAGACUUUUCUGAUGGGGCACAGCAUAGUUCUUCCUACUUUCCAAUCCUGGAGAGUCCCAACCCACGAUGAUGAGAUUCGUUCUCUCUCCUGAGCGUGAGGCAGAUGCGUUAUCGUCGUCUGACGAUGACUCAUCAUCGAUGAUCGCAACUCCUUCGGGAGUCGGGAGAGGGAGCAAUCUGAGUGGU